UCUUCGAUGGUCUAGUGGUCAUGAUUUCCGCUUGUCAAGUGGACCCUUGCUCUACGAACAAGGGUCGAUAUGCUUAGAUAAGCGCGGGAGACCGGGGUUCGAUUCCCCGUCGGAGAG
rfam:Macrophomina phaseolina MS6 contig00182, whole genome shotgun sequence.